rnacentral:rRNA from 1 species
UACGAAGGGUGCAAACGUUGCUCGGAAUCAUUGGGCGUAAAGCGCACGUAGGCGGCUUCGCAAGUCGGAUGUGAAAUCCCUCGGCUCAACCGAGGACGUGCAUCCGAAACUGCGGAGCUUGAGUACUGAAGAGGAUCGCGGAAUUCCCGGUGUAGAGGUGAAAUGCGUAGAUAUCAGGAGGAACACCCGUGGUGGUGUAGAUCAGCUUACGUCGGACCAUUUCUGACGCUGAGACACGAAAAGCGUGGGUAGCAAACAGG